AUUAGCGUGUGUCAUGUAGUCAUAUUUUUUUCGCAUUGCUCGGGAUUUAUCAUAACAUACAUUGAAUUAAAACGAAAGUGAAUGUCCGGUAAAAAUAUUGAAUAGAAGCAUGUUUUCUGCUUCUUUUGAAAAGCUGAGGAAAAGUUAUGAUGAUAACAAGACUCAGCCAGUGUUUUUAGGAAGUGUCCAUGGAACACACGGGCGUGUGUGCGUACCUUAACGAGAACAUUGCUAAUAAAAACAGGCAGGGUUUCCUCAAAAACGAAUCAGAUGGAAAAAGUGAAAGGCCAAAUCAAUUAUGACAUGAUAAAGCAUC
rnacentral:lncRNA from 1 species